rnacentral:rRNA from 1 species
AAUCAACGCUGGCGGCGUGCCUAACACAUGCAAGUCGAACGCGAAAGUCCCGCAAGGGAUGAGUAGAGUGGCAAACGGGUGAGUAACACGUGGGUGACCUGCCUUCGAGCGGGGGAUAACGUCCCGAAAGGGACGCUAAUACCGCAUGACAUCCUGCCUUUGAAGAGGCGGAGAUCAAAGCUGGGGAUCGCAAGACCUAGCACUUGAAGAGGGGCCCGCGCCUGAUAGCUAGUUGGUGGGGUAACGGCUCACCAAGGCAACGAUCAGUAUCCGGCCUGAGAGGGCGGACGGACACACUGGGACUGAGACACGGCCCAGACUCCUACGGGAGGCAGCAGUGGGGAAUUGUUCGCAAUGGGCGCAAGCCUGACGACGCAACGCCGCGUGGAGGAUG